UACGAAGGGGGCUAGCGUUGCUCGGAAUCACUGGGCGUAAAGGGUGCGUAGGCGGGUCUUUAAGUCAGGGGUGAAAUCCCACGGCUCAACCGUGGAAGUGCAUUCGAAACUGCAGGGCUAGAGUCCUGGAGAGGAAGGUGGAAUGCUUGGUGUAGAGGUGAAAUUCGUAGAUAUCAAGCGGAACACCGGUGGCGAAGGCGGCCUUCUGGACAGUGACUGACGCUGAGACGCGAAAGCGUGGGGAGCAAACAGG
rnacentral:rRNA from 1 species